AGGUUUCCAUAGAAGCGUUCUGUCACAGAACCCGGUGUCUCUCCAGAGAAUUUAUCUUACCGUUCCAUGGAAAUUACCAUAUUGUAGCUGUGCAUGCAACCAUGUGCACCUGCUUUGAAUCCAAGCCCCACAACCCCCACCCCCUCCGACUCAAAAGCUGCCUAUGUACUCACUCAAAUUACUAGCAGGUGUCAGUGACUGAAGAUCUGGCUUGAAAUGGGAGAAAAAGCACCCACAUCGAACAAACCUGGGGGAAUACGGACCCAUUUGGCUCAUCCCAUCAAUCUGAAAGUCCCAAAGACAAGAUGUAAGAAGCAGUUCCGAGCAUGAAAUAAACAGCGCGCUGGAUUCAAA